AGAAUUGAUUGCUCUCCCUAUAUUUAUUAACUUGCUUAUAACAUGCAGAAUUACAUCAAUAGCUCCCAUACUAACAUAAGAGAACCUAGGAAAUA